rnacentral:rRNA from 1 species
AAGGGCACCACAAGAACGCGUGGAGCAUGUGGCUUAAUUUGACUCAACACGAGAAAUCUUACCGGGUCCGGACACACUGAGGAUUGACAGGCAAUAUCUGAGUUAACAUCUCUGUAUGUUUCCAUCAGUGUUAAAUAUGCUAGUCCUUUCAUGAUUAUGUGAUAGGUGGUGCAUGGCCGUUCUUAGUUCGUGGAGUGAUCUGUCUGCUUAAUUGCGUUUCAGAUAUAUAAGCAAUGAGACACUCUUAUGUACUAUACUUACUACUAACGUAGUAUGGUAUAUCAGUACAAGUGCUCUUGCUAUGAAACGAACGAACGUGACCG